rnacentral:rRNA from 1 species
UACGUAGGGUGCAAGCGUUAAUCGGAAUUACUGGGCGUAAAGCGUGCGCAGGCGGUUGUGUAAGUCAGAUGUGAAAUCCCCGGGCUCAACCUGGGAAUUGCAUUUGAGACUGCACGGCUGGAGUGUGUCAGAGGGGGGUAGAAUUCCACGUGUAGCAGUGAAAUGCGUAGAGAUGUGGAGGAAUACCGAUGGCGAAGGCAGCCCCCUGGGAUAACACUGACGCUCAUGCACGAAAGCGUGGGGAGCAAACAGG